CAAAGGCUUGGUCCUGGCUUUACUAUCAGCUCUGGCUCGACUUACACAUGCAAGUAUCCGCACCCCCGUGAGGAUGCCCUUAGUUUUCACUCGAAAAUAAGGAGCUGGCAUCAGGCACAGACUUUCUUGUCUCAUCUAGCCCACGACGCCUUGUUAAGCCACACCCCCAAGGGAACUCAGCAGUGAUAAAUAUUAAGCUAUAAGCGACAGCUUGACUUAAUCAGAGCCAAUAUAGGGCCGGUAAAACUCGUGCCAGCAACCGCGGUUACACGACGAGGCUCAAGUUGAUAGUCACGGCGUAAAGGGUGGUUAAGGAUACCUCAUCACUAAAGCGAAAUACCUCCAAGACUGUUAUACGUUCCCGGAGGAAAGAAACCCACAACGAAAGUAGCUUUAUCUUGCCUGACCCCACGAAAGCUGAGGAACAAACUGGGAUUAGAUACCCCACUAUGCCCAGCCCUAAACUCUGAUAGCAGCAUACGCCCGCUAUCCGCCCGGGAACUACGAGCAUUUAGCUUAAAACCCAAAGGACUUGGCGGUGCUUCAAACCCCCCUAGAGGAGCCUGUUCUAGAAUCGAUAAUCCCCGUUAAACCUCACCCUUUCUUGCCACUUCCGCUUAUAUACCGCCGUCGUCAGCUAACCCUGUGAAGGAUGCAUAGUAGGCCAAAUUAGUAAAACCCAAAACGCCAGGUCAAGGUGUAGUACAUGAAGGGGGAAGAAAUGGGCUACAUUCUCUACAAUAGAGAACACGGACAGUGUUAUGAAAUGAACACUAGAAGGAGGAUUUAGUAGUAAGUAGAAAAUAGAGUGUUCUACUGAAUACUGGCUCUGAAGCACGCACACACCGCCCGUCACUCUCUCCAACUACCACCAUACUUCCUACAGGUAAAGGAGGGACAAGUCGUAACAUGGUAAGUGUACCGGAAGGUGUACUUGGAACAAC
rnacentral:ncRNA from 1 species